GCCUCAGUAACGGCGAGUGAAGCGGCAAAAGCUCAAAUUUGAAAUCUGGCUCUUUCAGAGUCCGAGUUGUAAUUUGUAGAGGAUGCUUCGGCUUACGUUUCGGUCUAAGUUCCUUGGAACAGGACGUCACAGAGGGUGAGAAUCCCGUUUGUGGCCGAGACUUCCGCCAUGUGAAGCUCCUUCGACGAGUCGAGUUGUUUGGGAAUGCAGCUCUAAAUGGGAGGUAAAUUUCUUCUAAAGCUAAAUACCGGCCAGAGACCGAUAGCGCACAAGUAGAGUGAUCGAAAGAUGAAAAGCACUUUGGAAAGAGAGUUAAAAAGUACGUGAAAUUGUUGAAAGGGAAGCGCUUGCGACCAGACUUGCCCGCGGAUGCUCAACCGGUCCUUCGGCCGGUGCACUCUUCCGCGGUCAGGCCAGCAUCAGUUCGAGCGGUUGGAUAAAGGCUUUGGGAAUGUGGCUCUCUUCGGGGAGUGUUAUAGCCCUUUGUGUAAUACAGCCUGCUUGGACUGAGGCCCGCGCUUCGGCUAGGAUGCUGGCGUAAUGGUCGUAAGCGGCCCGUCUUGAAACACGGACCAAGGAGUCUAACAUCUAUGCGAGUGUUUGGGUGUCAAACCCGUACGCGAAAUGAAAGUAAACGGAGGUGGGAAUCUUCGGAUGCACCAUCGACCGAUCCUGAUGUCUUCGGAUGGAUUUGAGUAAGAGCAUAGCUGUUGGGACCCGAAAGAUGGUGAACUAUGCCUGAAUAGGGUGAAGCCAGAGGAAACUCUGGUGGAGGCUCGCAGCGGUUCUGACGUGCAAAUCGAUCGUCAAAUUUGGGUAUAGGGGCGAAAGACUAAUCGAACCAUUAAAAAAACAAAGAAAGGAACCUUUUUCUCUUUUUUUGCUACUAGGUGGUUAAGAGGCAGCUAAAAGUGUCUGUCUAGUCCCUCCAUUCGGGGCCACACCGUCAAAUUGCGGGGACUUCCUUAGAGCCUGACUACCG
rnacentral:rRNA from 1 species